UCCCGCUGUUUUGUGUCACUAUAUCUGCUCACAGCAAUUCAUGUGACAAUUCUUUCUACUUUUCCCCCCUCUCCGAAUCCUUCUCUUUCUUUUCGUCCUCUCUCACAACAGCAUGUCCCUCCCUUCCUCUUUCUGUCUCUCCACCCGCCCUCCCUUCACUCUCCUUCCCUCUUGGCAGCAGUGCCAAAGUGGGCAGGCAGACGGAGGCAAACACAGCACAGGCCAGAGCAGAGGGCGAUCCAAAGGCUGGCGAAUUGAUAAUGUGGAUGGAACUGUCCAGCGUCUGUUGUGUUGUUGUUUCUGUUUCUUUUUUCGACGUCGUGUUGUGAGCUUCUCUAGGCACCCUCUUCUGUUCCUUGUGCACAAUGUGUGCGUUUCGGAUGUGUGUUUGUAGGGCUAUGAGAGAGCAGACGUCCCUCUGUCACCCUGUGCAUGAACAGACGCACUCACGCCAGGAGGAGGGGAUUGUGGGAAAAAGGGGUGUCGCUCUCAGAGGGUGUGCUCUACUCCUCUCUUUUCCCUUCUUCCCGCCAUCACGGCCUUCUUCUCCUCCAGUCCUCCGGCCCAGGCCGCCGCUCAGAUACAGGCUCCAGGAGGGUGACCUUGAUGGCUGCACCGCGAUGAGGCAACAAGAAUGCUGCCCUUGGGCCUGAGGAGACAGCUUGAUCAGCCAAUUCCUCGCGCAAGUGACAAUGUGGCACUGUCCAAUCACAGAACAUGGAACGCAGCAACUCACAUAACAUAUAUUGUUGUGACCAUUACUGUGUUUGCUCCCAAGUGGUAUAUUAUGUUACUUGGCAGGUGAUUGUGUGUUUAAACUGGGCUUUGUCAGGGUGAGGUAGUAGGUUGUAUAGUUUGGUGGGUGGGUCUGCACCCUGCUCAGGUGAUAACUAUACAGUCUAUUGCCUUCCUUGAGCAGCUCAUAGACAACUAAUGAUCACUGGGCAAAACUAGUCUGCAUUUGUUUGCAUAUGUCACGUAACUGACGCUUUAAGUUAAUAAAUGCAAAUAAAGUCAUACAUUACAAGUGGGUCGACUUAUUGUAAUGGAGUCAUACGUCCAGUGGUCAGUCUUGCGCGCCCUCCAGUGGAUAAAAGGAAAGACUGCAAAUUCAAUUCACUCCACCCUUGUGUGUCCUCGUCCUGUAUUGAAAUGAAAAGUGUUGAGCGCAAUUUUAAUGGCCAUGAGUAUUCUGUUUUACAAUAUAAUAAUAUCUAGCAGACUACAAUACACAGCUGUCGUCGUGUUUAGCGUGGCCCUAGAGGGAAUAUUUACACGCCCGUGUAUUUGUGUAUUUGUUUGUGUGUGUAAACACGUACAAUAGAAAUGAACGGCUUUCCAUAAAACCUAGUGGAAAUGUGCGCACACGUGUAGUUUCAGAAAUUUGUUCUUACAUCAUCUUCGUAGAAAGCAAAGGUAGAAAGCGUAGAAUCGUCUUCCUCCCCUUCAUUCAUUUGGCAACUACCAGACAGUUACGCGCACUACUGCCUUCUACAGGAGAGGGGUGAAACACAGGAUCCACUAAGAAAAUUCAUGGAGCAGCCUCACGUCAAGCAAGCCUCACAUCUUUAGUGGAAAAAAGAAAGCUUUGGACCGACGACAAAUCAGCCAAUUUACAUAUUUUAAAUUACAACCCCAAAAAAUUUGAAAUACUAUAUAUAUACGCUUACCUCAAAGUAAAAAUAAUGUCAAUAAAAUGAAAAAUAAAAUAAAUUAUGAAUACAGCAAUCAUCAUCAAAAAAUUUCAGCACAGUU